UCUGGGAGCUCUACCAAACAGGGCCUAAGGUUGAUUUGGUUCUCUAGGAAAAACUAGUGUGUAUAUUUAUAAUUACAGGUAGGGGUUGGCCCUCUUCUACUAAUGGCUACAAAGUCAAUACGAGGAAUUAAUGUUGGAUGCAAAGUGGUGUCUAGGUCUUUGAAAUGUUUCAACUAUAUUUUGUUAAUUACAUGAGACAAAUAUAGUUGAGUGGUUGUCAACGAAUGCAAUAGAACCUUGUGUGGGUAUUUAUGGUAGUGGAAAAGUUAGUUGGGUUUAAUUUUAUUGAAGUUCAAUGACAAUCAGUGCUAGUGGGCCUGUUUCUAUGAACUAUUUUUAACAAUCUUUAAUAUAAUGUAGCAUCUUUUUUUGGGAAAACUAUUAAAUCUUGUGCAACUAAUAAUUCUAGCUAAGAAAAAUAUAUUUUAGUAUGGAUCAUACAAGUCCCUAAAAUAUGAUGUCAAUAGUUCUCACAUAGAUAUGAUAUGGUUGGAUUUGGAUCUAUCGCUAAGACUAGUAUGUGUGUAUUUGUGAACAUCAGCGUAGAUGCAUUUUGUUUAAUACUAGAAAUGACUUUCAAAGUGUCAAGGGAAUUUGUGACUACCACUAUAGUUUACUAGAUUUUUGAAAUCCCUCGGAAUUUAUAAAAUCACUAAUCACAGCAUAUAGAUACAAUUGAGUGUUGUUGAUUGAAUUUUUAAGAACAUGAGUAAUUAUGUAAUAGAAAAUAUUUAGAUUACAUAGUAAUCUGAUAAAACUAACGUAAGACUUUC
rnacentral:lncRNA from 1 species